rnacentral:misc_RNA from 1 species
CUUUGUAUAAUUCAUAUUUACCACUACUAGAUUGCGACAGUAUAAAACAUUCUUAACAUUUACGCUACGGGGAGCCACUUAACCUCUUCGGUACGAACACGGUACAAGUGCCGGCUAUAGUCGACAUCCUCUGCAUAUUCAUGGACGAGGAUCGAUGUGGCGUCGAUUAAAGUUAACAAUAACAAUAACAAUAUGCAAACGUUCUUGCUGUUACUUGGUCGUCAAGUAAUAUUUAUUACUUAUUAGUGAGACUAUCUCCGGGCUCUGCUCGGACCAGCGUCAUAUCGGAGAGGUAAAAAAUGCUAGAAAUAACAUGUAAUGAUCGUCUUGGUAAAAAAGUUAGAGUUAAAUGCAAUCCAGAUGAUACAAUAGGGGAUUUAAAAAAAUUAAUAGCAGCCCAAACUGGAACUCAUUGGGAAAAAAUAGUUUUAAAAAAGUGGUACACUAUAUUUAAGGAUCACAUAAAAUUACAAGAUUAUGAAAUUCAUGAUGGCAUGAAUUUAGAACUGUAUUAUCAAUAAUUAAUAAUUAAUAUUAUAUAAGUUAAUGUUAUGUAUAUAUAUAAUAACAGUAAUAGUAAAUUUUAUAUUUAAACAUUUUUGAUUUUGUAUUUUACAUGGUAUUUAAGUAUGUAAUGUAUAUAAUAACUAUACAAUAAACAAACAUAAAUAACAACAACAAAGACAAUCUUAUCUUAAAUUCUUGAUACUAAUUGCUGUUUACAAUGCAGAAGCUUACUAAUGUUAUUGCUAUUUAAUAUCUAAGUAUUGCUACAUUAUUUUUACAAAUUUAAUCUCUAGAAAUAUAUUGUUUCUCAUAUUGCAAAAUGUAAUAUCAACUCUCAAAUACGUUUUAAUUUCUAUGUGUACAAGUGAUACUAAAAUGGAGUAAAAAAACAGCUUAUAGUAUAUAUUUUUGAAACUUAAUCAUCUUUUUAAAUGUAUUACUAAUUUAAUAGUGAUAUUAAAAAAUAUAUGAUUAUUGAAAAUAACAAAAGAUACAUUUUACAAUAACUCAUUGUUAG